rnacentral:rRNA from 1 species
ACGAACGCUGGCGGCAGGCUUAACACAUGCAAGUCGAACGCGUGCAGCAAUGCACGAGUGGCGCACGGGUGAGUAACGCGUGGAUAUCUGCCUUUUGGUUCGGAAUAACCCCGGGAAACUGGGGCUAAUACCGGAUGGUUCCUUCGGGAUAAAGAUUUAUCGCCAAAAGAUGAGUCCGCGUCCGAUUAGCUAGUUGGUGAGGUAAUGGCUCACCAAGGCGACGAUCGGUAGCUGGUCUGAGAGGACGAUCAGCCACACUGGGACUGAGACACGGCCCAGACUCCUACGGGAGGCAGCAGUGGGGAAUAUUGGACAAUGGGGGCAACCCUGAUCCAGCCAUGCCGCGUGAGUGAUGAAGGCCUUCGGGUUGUAAAGCUCUUUUGGCGGGGACGAUGAUGACGGUACCCGCAGAAUAAGCCCCGGCUAACUUCGU